UUCCCUUUUCACAUGGCGUCCUAUACAUUUACAUUUUAGUCAUUUAGCACACACUCUUAUCUAGAGCUACUUAGAGUUAGUACAUUUAUCUUAAGAUAGCUAGGUGGGACAACCCCAUAUCUCAGUCAUGCCGUCUCCUGCAUGUUCACCAUCAACAGCGGAUGACCAAAUUGGGCUCUUUCCCAGUUCCCGCCACCCACCCCUUGCUGGCCUCCCCAUGCCCAUUCCCACACAUUCCUAAACAGUCGUCACUCAUCAGCACUCUUAAAGACUGACCGUAACAGAACCUCCCACCACGAAAGGACCAAACAACGUGGUAAAGAGGACUCCUGGACAUGGGAGGAGAUCCUGGAUGGUAAGGGACCCUGGAGGCAGGUUGGGGAGUAUCACCAUCCACAGGAGGAACUGGAGGCAGCUAAGGCGGAGCGGCAACAUUAUGAGGGAACACGGCUGGCAAGGAAGCCCGAGAGGCAGCCCCCAGAAUUUUUUGGGGGGAGGGGGGCACAAGGGGAGUGUGGCGGAGUCAGGUUGGAGACCUGAGCCAACUCCCCGUGCUUACCGUGGCGAGCAUGUGACUGGUCAGGCCCCGUGCUAUGGGGUGAUGCUCACUAUGUCGAGGAUGAGCAUUCACGGGCCGGUGUGCUCGGUUCCAGCGUCCCGCAUUUGCCGGGUGGAAGCGGGCAUCCAGCCAGAACGGGUGGUGCCAGCUCUGCGCACGAGACCGCCAGUGCGCCUCCAUGGCCCAGUGUAUCCGGUGCCUCGGCCAAGGAAGAGGCCUCCUGUAUGUCUCCCCAGCCUGGUGAGUCCUGUGCCUGCUCCCAAAGACAGGUCUCUUGU